GCUGAGCUGUCACUCAUCCUCUAUCUGAACCACCUGCAAAAACCGUCUGAAAGAGUUAAGAAGCCAUUUGGCCCCAAACCCUCUGACAGGCCGAGUGAGGCUGCAGUGUGUAUUGCUGCCAUCGCGAGAUCACUCAUCACUUCGAGCUGUAUAAACAGAAUUGUGGUUCAACCUCACGCCAGUCGCUUUUACAAUAAGGAACACGGAGCAGGACAAGGCCCACAACACGACCAUCGAGCUCCUGAAGAUCCCAUUACGAUAAGAACAAUGGCCGCCUCAUUUUUCUUUUGUUUUGGCAGGCCAUAUCGCUGCGCCGAUUCGCCCGCUGAUGUGCCGUCUGUUACAAAGCCUGAAUUAUUGAGCGCUGUAGCAGCUCAGCUUUCACAGCCAACAAAUUCAUUCAUUCCAGUGCCGGGUAAUACCCCUGCAGCUCCGCUCCUGCAGAGACACAGCUCAACUUUACCAUAACUUUACUUUAACUUUAUCCCAUAUACUGACAAAAUAUAUUUAUUGGCUCAACUUAACUCAGUCAAGUUAUCAUUAAGCUGUAAAUAUAUACCAUUUUAAGUUCAUUUAGCUUAACUCAGUCAAGGAAGAGUGGAGAGACACACAGUCCAAGCUGCUCGAGAUCUAGUGUGAAGUUUCCACCAAUCAGUGAUGGUUUAAUGGAGAGACAUGUCUGUCAUCUGCUGGUGUUGAUCCACUGUGUUUUAUUAUCAAGUCUAAAGUCAGUGCAGUUUUGUUUUCCCACAAAAUCUUGCAGCACUUCAUAUCUUACAGCUUCCCUCUGCUGACAACUUUUAUGGAGAUGCAGAUUGGAUUUCAUUUUCCAGCAGGACUUGGCACACUGCCCACAGUAGUACCAAAGGUACCAAUUGGUCUUAUUUAAUAAUAUUCUAAUUUUCUGAGACACUGAUUUUUGGUUUGGUUUUCAUUGGCUGUAAGCUUCAUAAUCAUCAACAAUACAUAUAUAUAUAUAAUAGAUAAAUAGAGAAAGAGUUCCACAUUUUGAACUGAAUUACUAAAUAAAGUAACUUUUCAAUUAUAUUCUUAUUCUUUG
rnacentral:lncRNA from 1 species